UACGAAGGGGGCUAGCGUUGCUCGGAAUCACUGGGCGUAAAGGGUGCGUAGGCGGAUUUUUAAGUCAGGGGUGAAAUCCUGGAGCUCAACUCCAGAACUGCCUUUGAUACUGGGAAUCUCGAGUCCGGGAGAGGUGAGUGGAACUCGAGUGUAGAGGUGAAAUUCGUAGAUAUUCGCAAGAACACCAGUGGCGAAGGCGGCUCACUGGCCCGGUACUGACGCUGAGGUGCGAAAGCGUGGGGAGCAAACAGG
rnacentral:rRNA from 1 species